AGGUCCUUUUGGGAAGUAACGACUUGAGGGAGAGAGUGACGUUACUCAUUGAUACAGAGACACAACGAGGUUGAGCUGAUGUGAUGAUGGUGCUGCAAUGAGCGGAGUCUCCAGGGUUGUUAAUAAAUAGUUAACCUGUCUAGAAUAUGUCUUCAUACAUAUGUCUAGCUACUUUCCGCUGCAAGAUGUUGUUGAUGUUAUAGUAUGUUAUGUCAUACUUUGAGUUUUAAGAGAAUGGUUUCAUAUGAUGUAUAACUUGAUUAAUGAUAUUAAUUAAGUUUUAUGCUGUCUUUCAUAGACUGUUUUCAAUUGAGUAUUAAUGAAUAAAAAUGACGAGUUUUAU